rnacentral:ncRNA from 1 species
AUCGGGGCCGACGGGCGCGGCCGGCGUGGUGGCCAUGGAGUUGCUCUCGUCAGCUCCAGCGGCUGAGAUACUGCUAUCACGCGCAGUGACCCGUCGAACCUGAUCCAGGUAUACCGGCGCAGGUACGGUGCGAAGGUUCGCG